rnacentral:rRNA from 1 species
UACGGAGGGAGCUAGCGUUGUUCGGAAUUACUGGGCGUAAAGCGCACGUAGGCGGCUUUUUAAGUCAGGGGUGAAAGCCCGGGGCUCAACCUCGGAACUGCCCUUGAAACUGGUGUGCUAGAAUGUUGGAGAGGCGGGCGGAAUUCCGAGUGUAGAGGUGAAAUUCGUAGAUAUUGGGAAGAACACCAGUGGCGAAGGCGGCUCGCUGGACCGGUUCUGACGCUGAGGCGCGAAAGCGUGGGGAGCAAACAGG